rnacentral:rRNA from 1 species
GUACACGCUGUGACUAGCAUAUCAAUAAGCGGAGGAAAAGAAACUAACAAGGAUUCCCCUAGUAACGGCGAGUGAAGCGGGAAGAGCUCAAAGUUGAAAUCUUAGAGGGUUUCCCUUUACGAAUUGUAGUUUAAAGAAGUGUUUUCUGUUGAGGUUUUGGUAAAGGUUCUUUGGAAUAGGACAUCAUAGAGGGUGAGAAUCCCGUAUUUGACCUUUACUUUCAACUUUGUGAUACACUUUCAAAGAGUCGGAUUGUUUGGGAAUGCAGUCCAAAAUGGGUGGUAAAUUUCAUCUAAAGCUAAAUAUUGGCGAGAGACCGAUAGCGAACAAGUACCGUGAGGGAAAGAUGAAAAGAACUUUGAAAAGAGAGUUAAACAGUACGUGAAAUUGUCAAAAGGGAAGCGUUUGACACCAGUGUUGUUUUUCUGAGAAUCAAUUAAAGAACUGUUUAUGCUAAGCUGUUUAGACUUUAUCAGCUAUACUGUUUAGUUUUGAGCUUUUCUUUGAUGCACUUUUCAGUUAACAAGUCAACAUCAAUUUCUUUUGCUGUAAAAAAGCUUGAGGAAGGUGGCUUGAGAUUCGUCUUAAGUGUUUAUAGCCUCUUGCCUAUGCAGUCGGAGAGAUUGAGGUCUGCAGCGUAGAUCCUUCGGGGCUAAAUGCAUUUGUGCUAAGUUAUAGCAUUUUAUAGACAACUUGUUGACUAUGAUUUGUCUUGUAGCUUACUCGCUUAUGUUAUUUUACCUACGCUUAGGAUGUUGACGAGACUGUCGAUCUCAUCUAUACAUGACUCUGUGCAUAUCAAUAAGCGGAGGAAAAGAGGGCUAUUACCUACGCUUAGGAUGUUGACGAGACUGUCGAUCUC